AUUUUAUUGAAUAAAUUUUAACAAUUAUUCUUAAAUUUAUAAAUUUAGCAUUGUAACGGUAUAUCUAUAUAAUUUCUGAUGCUAUCGUUAAAAUUUAUCCCAAAUCUUGGAGUCGAUCUCUUGUUGGUGGCGCCUUCAAGCUUUUUUAGGUGAAGUCGUCUAGAUUUCAGUUACCAAUAAAGAAAUAAUAAACAAAAGAUUUCCCUAUUCUUUAGCUUCAGUCGUUAAACCAUCACCGGUUAACGGUAAUAUCACGCAUCGAUACUAAACCAAGUAAUACAGAACGACACCGCAGAGCAAACCAUCACGCAUAGAGGCGAGAAAAUAAACACUGCUCACCUCCAAUGAUUCGGCAAUGGAAUCGCAUACCCAUCAGAAUUCAGAACCAGAAUACAUCCCCAGCAUACUCUACCAGAAAAUGAAUUGAACAAUAACGAUUUAAAAUUUAAUAAAAAAUCAUAAAUCCAAAAUAAAAUCCCUAACAACAAAUACCCAUAAAAAAUCAAAGAAAAAAAAUCCAAAACGAAGA
rnacentral:misc_RNA from 1 species